rnacentral:lncRNA from 8 species
GGUGAUGAUGAGAUCAUUUUGGUAUGUCCCUAAAUAUCCUUUUAAACUCUCUCUAUCUCUCUCCUCAGAGGCUGCUGGAGGAGAUGGAGGGGUUACUGGGCUGCUGGAGGAGAUGGAGGGGUUACUGGGCUGCUGGCGGUGGCUCCUCCUACCCCUGACCGGUGUCCCUGAGCUGUCUGUCCAGGUCAAACGCCUUCAGAAGACUCUCACUGCCUGGGGGGCACUGACCUCAGAGGAGAUGCUCAAGGCUGUGCUGUCUGCCUCUCCUCUGCUCUCCCAGUCCCAGCUGCAGUGGUUUGCCCAGGGAGUGUGUGGAGCAGGGGAAGGAGUGUUUGGACCUUCUGCAGACAACUGCGGUUGUACUGGCAGAGAGGCCCGAGUCCACAAGGACACGUGGUACUCAUCUUGGACAGGAUGGGAGUCUCUCACACUUGCACCCUACACUCAAAUCGACUCUAAUGUGCAAGAUCAACGUACAAAGCGGAAUGAUGCACUUUCUUUGUGUAGAGGAGAGUUGAGGAAAGUCUACCGUGGCAUGAACACAUUGCCUAUGAGUGUGACUGCUGUGAUAACGCCCAGUGAAAUAUUUGUCUUGUCCUAUCUUGCAGUACCUCCAGAAGCUGCUAUGGGAGAGCAUCUCCUGCCUCAGGCCUCGCUCUGUCACCCACAUGCCCUCUCUACACUCACUGCUUGGCCACUGUGCUCUAAGAGAGGUCAAACCGCACACACACACGUCUCUCUCUUUCUCUUCUGGCCCUCAGUCUGACCGGGAAUCUCCUGAAUGGAGGUGUGGAGCCCAAGCAGGUGUUCUACGUGCUCAACCUUGAUGACAACUUGUAGUUCACCAGGUGAGUACAGUCCCAACAGCACUGUUUCAGGGGGCUUUAUUUGUCUGCCUUAUCUGUGUCCUUUAGAAUUUGAUGAAUCCCUCUCCUGCUCAGCAUCCCUCUCUCUCUCUCUCUCUCUCUCUCUCUAUCUCUCUCUCUCUCUCUUUGUGUGUGGGGUGGCUCCUGACCCAGAUCUACUGCAGGAGGCUGUGACUGCCAAAGACCUCUACAUGUUAGGGAGAAGUGUAUGACAGCAGUGAUGUCAAUAGUUUGCCUUACUACACACACACUGUCAAAUGUUGUUUAACAUGAAGCUUGACAUUCUCUCAUGACUUGUAUCAUGCUAGAUGUUAGAUGCUUUGAAUUGGUGUCAGAAUUCAACCGUUCUUACUUAAAGCUGGAAUCCUUAAUGGUGAAACUGCUAUAAAACAACAACAAAGAAGUUACUGCAAACACUGUUUUUUUCCCCCUCGGACAUCAUUGCACACACGAUAGAUGAGCAGAAUAUGUAGUGAUUAAGGCAGCCCCCUGCACCUCUCUGAUUCAGAGGGGUUGGGUUAAAUGCGGAAGACACAUUUCAGUUGAAUACAUUCAGUUGGACAACUGACUAGGUUUUCCCUUUUUCUUACUUUUUUCUUUUACUUCCAGGUUCUGUCUUAUAAUCUUUUUAAUGGGCUUGACGAUUAUGUAUUCAAAUUUGUGAAAAUGCGGUCAUUUAAGAUACUGUAUAUCAAAUUAUAUUUGUAUUUUGGAUGAAUUUACUUCUGCCAGAGGCCUUUUACGGUUCCUGGACUGGCAGAGGAUCCUGAAAGAGAUGAGAGAUGUUUCUAUGCUCUUUGGCUGGCAGUAUCAUCCUCAACUACCUCAUGGCUGGCUGGGAAGACUGACACACACAGACCUAUAAAGAUCAAGAGAAAAAACAGGCUUUCAUCAUUUUUUUCAGAAAUCAUUGCAAAGGAGGGCAUUUCCUGUAUUCUGUUUUACUGCCAUACACUGACCCCAAACAAUCCUAGAUUAACUUGCCUGUCUGUGUGUGAUUUUGCCUGUCUGUGUGUGAUUUUGACAUGUAGCCCAUUGGUUCUGGGGAGCCUGUGGGAUGUGAUUGACCGAGACAUUUACAGCUUCACCAAGGCCCUGCUGGAGUCCUGGCUGUCUGCAGGUCCCGGGGCUCCACUCCUAGACCACAUGGGGCGGCAAGUAGCCUAGUGGUUAGAGCAUUGGACCAGUAACCGAAAGAUUGCUAGAUUGAAUCCCCGACCUGACAAG